rnacentral:lncRNA from 1 species
GAAGUGCCAUCUGGGAGCGAAGGCCUGGGAAGGGGGCCUCACAACUCUGCCCACUGCCCAAUUUUUUUUUUUUUUUUGAGACAGUCUCACUCUGUCACCCAGGCUGGACUGUAAAUGGCCUGGCUAAGUGUGGAAGGAGUAUCCCUAACACAGACCCAAUCUGCAAAGACCAGGAGACUAUUAUUUUUUUUUCUUUUAAGAAAAUCUCUGUGAAACCACUAGCUGACCAAAAGCUAAAGAAACAACAGAAUUAAGAGGCCAUCCACAGCAAACAAUAACAACAAACCUUGAGGAAGGUGAAGAAUCUUAUAUCCACUUACCACAUUUAAAUAUAUAACAUGCCCAGUUUCUAACCAAAAAAUCACGUGGUGCACAAAGAUACAAGAAAGUAUGGCCAAUUUGCAGGAAAAAAAGCCAAAUGAACAGAAAGUAUCCCUGAGGAAGCACAGACAUUGUCUUACUAG